GAGGCCUACCAUGGUGGUAACGGGUAACGGGGUGUUAGGGCACGACACCGGAGAGGGAGCCUGAGAAACGGCUACCACAUCCAAGGAUGGCAGCAGGCGCGCAAAUUACCCAAUCCCGACACGGGGAGGUAGUGACAAUAAAUAACAAUACGGGGUUCUUUAGGAUCUCGUAAUUGGAAUGAGUACAAUUUAAAUCUCUUAACGAGGAACAAUCGGAGGGCAAGUCUGGUGCCAGCAGCCGCGGUAAUUCCAGCUCCAAUAGCGUAUAUUAAAGCUGUUGCAGUUAAAAAGCUCGUAGUUGAAUUUCGGGGUUAGUAGGUUGGUCAUGCCUCUGGUAUGUACUGGUCUCACUGAUUCCUCCUUCCUUAUGAACCGUAAUGCCAUUAAUUUGGUGUUGCGGGGAAUUUGGACUGUUACUUUGAAAAAAUUAGAGUGUUUAAAGCAAGCUAACGCUUGAAUACAUUAGCAUGGAAUAAUGAAAUAGGACGUUCGAUCUUAUUUUGUUGGUUUCUAGGAUUGACGUAAUGAUUAAUAGGGAUAGUUGGGGGCAUUAGUAUUCAAUUGUCAGAGGUGAAAUUCUUGGAUUUAUUGAAGACUAACUACUGCGAAAGCAUUUGCCAAGGAUGUUUUCAUUAAUCAAGAACGAAAGUUAGGGGAUCGAAGACGAUCAGAUACCGUCGUAGUCUUAACCAUAAACUAUGCCGACUAGGGAUCGGA
rnacentral:rRNA from 1 species